AGAGGGGAGUGAAAUAGAACCUUGAAACCGUAUGCGUACAAGCAGUGGGAGCCUACUUGUUAGGUGACUGCGUACCUUUUGUAUAAUGGGUCAGCGACUUAUAUUCAGUGGCAAGCUUAACCGUAUAGGGUAGGCGUAGCGAAAGCGAGUCUUAAUAGGGCGUUUAGUCGCUGGGUAUAGACCCGAAACCGGGCGAUCUAUCCAUGAGCAGGUUGAAGGUUAGGUAACACUGACUGGAGGACCGAACCCACUCCCGUUGAAAAGGUAGGGGAUGACUUGUGGAUCGGAGUGAAAGGCUAAUCAAGCUCGGAGAUAGCUGGUUCUCCUCGAAAGCUAUUUAGGUAGCGCCUCAUGUAUCACUCUGGGGGGUAGAGCACUGUUUCGGCUAGGGGGUCAUCCCGACUUACCAAACCGAUGCAAACUCCGAAUACCCAGAAGUGCCGAGCAUGGGAGACACACGGCGGGUGCUAACGUCCGUCGUGAAAAGGGAAACAACCCAGACCGCCAGCUAAGGUCCCAAAGUUGUGGUUAAGUGGUAAACGAUGUGGGAAGGCUUAGACAGCUAGGAGGUUGGCUUAGAAGCAGCCAUCCUUUAAAGAAAGCGUAAUAGCUCACUAGUCGAGUCGGCCUGCGCGGAAGAUGUAACGGGGCUCAAACCACACACCGAAGCUGCGGGUGUCACGUAAGUGACGCGGUAGAGGAGCGUUCUGUAAGCCUGUGAAGGUGAGUUGAGAAGCUUGCUGGAGGUAUCAGAAGUGCGAAUGCUGACAUGAGUAACGACAAUGGGUGUGAAAAACACCCACGCCGAAAGACCAAGGGUUCCUGCGCAACGUUAAUCGACGCAGGGUUAGUCGGUUCCUAAGGCGAGGCUGAAAAGCGUAGUCGAUGGGAAACAGGUUAAUAUUCCUGUACUUCUGGUUACUGCGAUGGAGGGACGGAGAAGGCUAGGCCAGCUUGGCGUUGGUUGUCCAAGUUUAAGGUGGUAGGCUGAAAUCUUAGGUAAAUCCGGGGUUUCAAGGCCGAGAGCUGAUGACGAGUCGUCUUUUAGAUGACGAAGUGGUUGAUGCCAUGCUUCCAAGAAAAGCUUCUAAGCUUCAGGUAACCAGGAACCGUACCCCAAACCGACACAGGUGGUCGGGUAGAGAAUACCAAGGCGCUUGAGAGAACUCGGGUGAAGGAACUAGGCAAAAUGGCACCGUAACUUCGGGAGAAGGUGCGCCGGCUAGGGUGAAGGAUUUACUCCGUAAGCUCUGGCUGGUCGAAGAUACCAGGCCGCUGCGACUGUUUAUUAAAAACACAGCACUCUGCAAACACGAAAGUGGACGUAUAGGGUGUGACGCCUGCCCGGUGCCGGAAGGUUAAUUGAUGGGGUUAGCGCAAGCGAAGCUCUUGAUCGAAGCCCCGGUAAACGGCGGCCGUAACUAUAACGGUCCUAAGGUAGCGAAAUUCCUUGUCGGGUAAGUUCCGACCUGCACGAAUGGCGUAACGAUGGCGGCGCUGUCUCCACCCGAGACUCAGUGAAAUUGAAAUCGCUGUGAAGAUGCAGUGUAUCCGCGGCUAGACGGAAAGACCCCGUGAACCUUUACUGUAGCUUUGCACUGGACUUUGAGCCUGCUUGUGUAGGAUAGGUGGGAGGCUUUGAAGCGUGGACGCCAGUUCGCGUGGAGCCAUCCUUGAAAUACCACCCUGGCAUGCUUGAGGUUCUAACUCUGGUCCGUGAUCCGGAUCGAGGACAGUGUAUGGUGGGCAGUUUGACUGGGGCGGUCUCCUCCUAAAGAGUAACGGAGGAGUACGAAGGUGCGCUCAGACCGGUCGGAAAUCGGUCGCAGAGUAUAAAGGCAAAAGCGCGCUUGACUGCGAGACAGACACGUCGAGCAGGUACGAAAGUAGGUCUUAGUGAUCCGGUGGUUCUGUAUGGAAGGGCCAUCGCUCAACGGAUAAAAGGUACUCCGGGGAUAACAGGCUGAUACCGCCCAAGAGUUCAUAUCGACGGCGGUGUUUGGCACCUCGAUGUCGGCUCAUCACAUCCUGGGGCUGAAGCCGGUCCCAAGGGUAUGGCUGUUCGCCAUUUAAAGUGGUACGCGAGCUGGGUUUAGAACGUCGUGAGACAGUUCGGUCCCUAUCUGCCGUGGACGUUUGAGAUUUGAGAGGGGCUGCUCCUAGUACGAGAGGACCGGAGUGGACGAACCUCUGGUGUUCCGGUUGUCACGCCAGUGGCAUUGCCGGGUAGCUAUGUUCGGAAAAGAUAACCGCUGAAAGCAUCUAAGCGGGAAACUUGCCUCAAGAUGAGAUCUCACUGGGAACUUGAUUCCCCUGAAGGGCCGUCGAAGACUACGACGUUGAUAGGCUGGGUGUGUAAGCGUUGUGAGGCGUUGAGCUAACCAGUACUAAUUGCCCGUGAGGCUUGACCAUAUAACACCCAAACA
rnacentral:rRNA from 1 species